GUGGCAGUUUCCUUUCAGUAUGGGGAGGACAUCUUUCACAUGGGAAUUUCGUCUCCUGCUUUUGAGAAAGAAAAUGAAGAUCAGAGGGAUCUUCUAGCACCUCUUGCUUUUCAGCGCUCUUCACAGUGCCUCUCCGAAAUGAAGAGCUUCUCUUGGGGCAGAAACCAACACGCUGCUCCCUUCUAGGAGAAAGUCUCACUCUGGGAGAAAUGUUCACUGAGCCUCAAGGUGUGUUCCCAGACGGUCCCAUGGAUUUACACGCCGCCGGCACCAGGUGCUAAAGCAGCUCAGACCCCACUUUGAGGAGCUCUGUGUCCCUGGGAGGGAGAGCAGAGUCCAAUCUCAAGAACCAAAGACCUGAACUGCAGACGAAGCUUCCUUCCCACCUCCUGGGCUUUGAGGAGCCUGCAUUCCCUGCCCACUCUUCUCCUGCUGUGCCCACAGCAGGGCUGGUGAGCACGAUGGGAGGGCACCUGGGUCCCCACCCGCUGGUACAGCUCCUGCGACUUCUCUGGGCUCAGUUUCCCUCUCCAUAGGGGGAAAUGGCCAGGGUCAAGACCCUGGAGCUGGGCUCCUGCCAGCCCUGUUGCCAGGCUAUAAUGGCAGAUGUCAGUCUGGGUGGAGGCAGUCCGUCACGCUCAGGCCCACGCAGGCACUGACAUCAGCUCCCAGCCAUGGGAGACAUGUGCACUGUUGAUCCGGGGGCCCCUCGCAGGAAUGAGCGCUGUGAGUCCCGCCUGCCUUAUUGAUAACUACCAAGCAUAAACAAGACGCCUGGAAUGUUUAAAUGACCGGGCCAGUCUGUUCCAGAAGAUGCCUUACAUAUAUCAAGGCUAUUUUAGGGUGCGGCAGGCCCGGCAAGAGGAGGGUGAGGGGCUCUGUGCUGAUCUGGUUACGACCAUGUGCAGGGACAGUGAAUGCCAGCGUAUCUGUCCAGUGACCUCACAGGAGUGGCAGACGGCUCAUGACCCCUGUGCAAAGUGUCCGUGCUGGAGGCCCAGGACAGGAAUGGCGGGAAUGGGUGGGAGGAAGGGAAGUGGCGACUGGCAGAGGAAGGCCUGGGCUCUUAGGGGCUGUUUGGCAAUCCCUCUUGAGCUGAGCAUGCCCACCCUGAGAGCCAAACCCACCAGCUAGGGGAAGGACACCCAGACAGCCUCGGGGGGCUCAGGCUUGGGGGAAUGAGAAGCAGGAGGGAGAGGGGUACAGGACCUUGCCUGCAGGAGUUCCCAGGGACAGGCUGCUUCCUGGCCAGGGGCCUGGCUUAGGUACCUCGCUCUCUGCUGCUUCUUAGUGACAGCAAAAAGGAGGAGGAAAACGCUGAUCCUCUGGUGGGUUCUGGGAGGAGGCUAUGUUUGAGAAUAUUUUCAUGGGGUGGUGUCAGUGCCGCAGGAGUUCUGGCCCUGGUGUGUGCCACCUCCCCCCCCGGCCCACACACAGGUUCUGAGCUUCCUGGAGCCUGCCCCAGCCCCUCCUGCACCUGCCUCUGUCCCCGCUUCGGCUCUCCUUCUCACUGGGACGCUCCCACUUUCCCCCUCUUACAAAGAGACUAGGCCCAAAUGAGGCUGGCCAGCCUCUCCCAUGCCCAGCCCCUGUGCCAAGGACUUGUGCUGGGGUUGGGGUCCCAGAUGAGAAGGCUCCCCCCACCGUGGGCUGGAGGAGGCCCCUGGAGAGGCUGCAGAGCUGGCUCAUUCCUGUGUGGGGGUAGGACGGACGGGACAUCAGGUAUGACAGGCAUACCCAGAGGUAGGCUGGGGGUCCUGAGGCAGACAAGGCUCAUCCUGACCUCCGAAAUGUCCGUGUCCCUUCAUCCUCUUUCCUGCAGGAUUUCAGUUUUCCUAAGGGCUCCACGGGGAAGGCUGGCAGGGCAGCAGCAUGGAGGACUCCUUGCCAUUUUAUAGGCUCCUCGUCCCUAUGGAGGGGCAGUGUGGACAUGGGGUCAGCAGUGUUCAAACGGUGAUCCCGGGGCUGACACUUCAGCGGCCCUCGUGUUGGGGGGUCAGGGCUUGUGGGGGCCCUUCCUGCCUUUCCUGGCAUGGCCUUUCUUUCCCAUGCUGCCUGGGCUGCCUGGUGGUGUCUUCUUUCCCAACAAAGUGGUCCUGAUUUUUUCAUUUCUCCGCAUGACCUGCUGUCCUUCCCUCUCUUCUAUCUCAGAGUGCCAAAUGGGCCAUUUUCCUCUUCCCCAGCAAGCAGGGCCUGGAAGGGGUGGAACUAAGGCAAGGCUGUGCAGGUCUGGCCCCUUCCUUACCCUAUUCCUGCCGCCCAGAGUGGAGCAGCUCUCUCCACGGAGCCGUGCCCCCAGGACCACCCGAAACUCACUGCUCCUAAAAACACCGGUGCUCCAUGCACCCACCACGCUGCCCUGGAAGGCUUG
rnacentral:lncRNA from 1 species